rnacentral:rRNA from 1 species
ACUGAACGCUGGCGGCAGGCUUAACACAUGCAAGUCGAGCGGGGUGAUGGUGCUUGCACUAUCACUUAGCGGCGGACGGGUGAGUAAUGCUUAGGAAUCUGCCUAUUAGUGGGGGACAACAUCUCGAAAGGGAUGCUAAUACCGCAUACGUCCUACGGGAGAAAGCAGGGGAUCACUUGUGACCUUGCGCUAAUAGAUGAGCCUAAGUCGGAUUAGCUAGUUGGUGGGGUAAGGGCCUACCAAGGCGACGAUCUGUAGCGGGUCUGAGAGGAUGAUCAGCAAAACUGGGACUGAGACACGGCCCAGACUCCUACGGGAGGCAGCAGUGGGGAAUAUUGGACAAUGGGGGGAACCCUGAUCCAGCCAUGCCGCGUGUGUGAAGAAGGCCUUAUGGUUGUAAAGCACUUUAAGCGAGAAGGAGGCUCUUUUGGUUAAUACCCAAGAUGAGUGGACGUUACUCGCAGAAUAAGCACCGGCUAACUCUGUGCCAGCCGCCGCAGUAA